rnacentral:rRNA from 1 species
GCUCCAAUAGCGUAUAUUAAAGUUGUUGCAGUUAAAAAGCUCGUAGUUGGAUUUGUGGCUGUCGCUAGCGGCCAUCACCUAGUGUUGGUGUUUGCUGGCGUCGCCAUCCUUGGGUGGAGCCUGUGUGGCAUUAGGUUGUCGUGCAGGGGAUGCCAUCGUUUACUGUGAGAAAAUUAGAGUGUUCAAAGCAGGCUUAUGCC